CAUAAUAUGUCACAUUUUGCACUGUUAUUAGGUGAGGAGGGAAUGGCAUUUGGUAUAUUAUUUUUAAGUUCUGGGGAAAGGCCUAUAUUGUUAACACUUUUAUUUUCUCCCUUUCUUUUCCUUAAUAAAACCAUUUUAUCCUCCAACUGAACAAUUCUUGAGUGCAUCAGUUCAUGUUCUCUCAUUUCAUUGGUGGUGUAAUUGAAAGAGAGAGGAAGAUAUGUCUACCACACUAUUCCCUAUUUCACAGGUCAUGAGAUGUAGAAGUUAAAAGGAGUAAAGCAAACCUGGCGCUAGAAUCUGCUUUGUUCAGGAUGCGGGUUCCCAAGAUCAUGGGUUAAGAUGAUUGGAGGUGAGCAGAUAUCGCUGUUCAAUUUACAGAAGAUAAAGACAGCUAGUCACUUGGUCUGGAGAGUAGGGAUGUUAAGAUGCCAAGACAACAAGAGGCCACAGCAUAAGAGGACCAAGCAGCUACCCAAGGUGAAAACUAUGCCAAGUCCAAUUCUUUAGGAAUAAGAUGAUGUAAUUCUUUCUGUGCCAUGAUGCCAACAAGAGACAGCAACCCAUCACACUAGUGGGAGAAGACCCAAGCCAGCUAAUGAAAAUAGAAC